rnacentral:lncRNA from 1 species
GAAUACAUAAAUUCUAGGAUUUGCUAUCCCCAAAAAUAGAGUGGAGUUGGAGAUAAUCCCUCAAACUUCCAACACCUCUGCAUUUAACUGUGAUAGAAAAGAUAGCCAAAGGACCCUCCCCACCAGAACUCUUCAACCUUCCUGGACGUUGUUUUUGUAUGGGGCUAACCUUCAAGAUGGUUGGGAAUAACACAGGAAAUUAACUUUAUUCAUAUGAAGCAAGUCAAAAGAGG